AACCCUUUCUCCUCUCCUCUCUGAGCUCUCUCUAUGUCUCACUUUUUCAGCUCACUCCCUCAUUCUCACUGAGUUCACUCUGUCUCCCAAGUCCCAUCUCCAUGUUUCUCUCAUUCUGUGAGACUCAAGCGCAUCUUCACUUUCUAAGAUUUUGUAGAAGGCAGAUUGUGUUGCAGGAAGUUUCUAAGGUGGAAUACCUAUCAAUGUAGCCGCUACUGAGCCUGGAUUGAAUUGUAAAUAUUGUUCUCUAGCGGUCAAGUUAAAAGAUAUGUGCAGUAUAAUUUUUUGGUUCAGAUGUUAUGCCUGGGAGAACCAAUGAUGAAUGCUUUAACAAACAGAUUUAUAAAUGGAUUUUUUCUCGUUGAAAGGUACAAAUGAUGAUUUGGAAUCUAUCAAAAUGCCUUUAUUUUAUUCUA